ACACAGGGAAGGAGGUGGUCCGACAAAUUGAUUGAAACUUUGAGGACAUGUGAGGUGGCUGCCCGCUAGUAGCGCCGGGUAUUUCGUCCGAGCGCACUCGCGAAAUCCCGCAGCCACCCGGCCCCCGAGCCUCCCGGUCUUGUCCAACCAGGAACCUUGGCUCGGGGGUCGCCUCAU
rnacentral:sRNA from 1 species